GCUCGGGUGGUGAAAUUGGCAGACACGUAAGAUUCAGGUUCUUAUGCCCGCAAGGGUGUGGGGGUUCAAGUCCCCCCUCGAGCA
rnacentral:tRNA from 1 species